UACAGAGGUCCCAAGCGUUGUUCGGAUUCACUGGGCGUAAAGGGUGCGUAGGCGGUUGGGUAAGUCUGACGUGAAAUCUCCAAGCUCAACUUGGAAAUGGCGUCGGAUACUAUCCGGCUUGAGGAUUGGAGGGGAGACUGGAAUUCUCGGUGUAGCAGUGAAAUGCGUAGAUAUCAAGUGGAACACCAGUGGCGAAGGCGAGUCUCUGGACAUUUCCUGACGCUGAGGCACGAAAGCCAGGAGAGCAAACGGG
rnacentral:rRNA from 1 species